UACAGAGGGGGCAAGCGUUGUUCGGAAUUACUGGGCGUAAAGGGCGCGUAGGCGGCCGCCUAAGUCAGACGUGAAAUCCCCAGGCUCAACCUGGGAACUGCAUCCGAUACUGGAUGGCUUGAAUUCGGGAGAGGGAUGCAGAAUUCCAGGUGUAGCGGUGAAAUGCGCAGAUAUCAGGAGGAACACCAGCGGCGAAGGCGGCGCUCUGGGCCGGAACUGACGCUGAGGAGCGAAAGCGUGGGUAGCAAACAGG
rnacentral:rRNA from 1 species